rnacentral:rRNA from 1 species
UACGUAGGGGGCGAGCGUUGUCCGGAGUUACUGGGCGUAAAGCGCACGCAGGCGGUCUGCUAAGUUUGGAGUGACAGUUGGUGGCUUAACUGCCAAAGUGCUUCGAAAACUGACAGACUUGAGGGCUUCAGAGGGACACGGAAUUCCGGGUGGAGUGGUGAAAUGCGUAGAGAUCCGGAGGAACACCAAAGGCGAAGGCAGUGUCCUGGGGAAUACCUGACGCUCAGGUGCGAAAGCCAGGGGAGCGAACGGG